rnacentral:rRNA from 1 species
AUGAUGGGUUUCUCCCCAAAUCUUUCUGUGGUCGUCCUUAUCUUACUUCUUGUAGCCACAGGUGGGUCUAACAUCAUGAACAAUCCCUCAAAAUACAUGCCUCUGGAGUUUGUGCACAAAUAUACGGAUGAGAACCGAGAAGCGGUUCAUGUGGCUACGCCGAGGGAAUGUGUAGAGAAACAAGGGCUGGCACAAGAAGAUAUUCCGCCGGUGGUGUGCUAUACACCGAGCAAGGAUUUUAAAGGACAAUGUGUCAUAGGCGUGAUCGAAAGCAAUUGCAUAAGUGUCUGCAAGGCCGAAGGAUUCAUGGGAGGCAAGUGUGUUGGCGUGUGUAAACGUUGCUAUUGCACCAAUCUUUGUUAG